GUGCUUGUUUCGGCAGCACAUAUACCAAAAUGGGAAUGAUACAGAGAAGAUUAACAUGGCCCCAGCACAAGGAGGACAUGCAAAUUCGUGAAGCAUUCUAUAUUUUA
ensembl:snRNA U6 U6 spliceosomal RNA